AUGGCCGUGUACUUGAACGACGAUUUGGAAGACCUGCAAGACGACCACUUCGACUCCGACGGGUUUGGCGUCUCCGGCAGCCGCGACGGCCAUCCCUCGAGCCCGAAUAAGCAUAAGAAUGAUACAUCAGCCGUGGAGUACAGAAAUGGAAAAGACAUGCAAGGGAUACCAUGGGAGAGGUUAAAAUACAGUAGAGAUCAGUAUCGCAAGAUGAGGCUGAAGCAUUACAAGAAUUAUGAGAACCUCGCGAGGUCACAUCAGGGGUUUGAUAUGGAGUGCAAACAAGUGGAGACAAAUGACAAGUUCUAUGAUUUCUGCUUCAACACACGACUUGUCAAGCCAACGAUAGUGCAUUUUCAGCUAAGGAAUCUUGUGUGGGCCACAUCCAAGCAUGAUGUUUACAUGGCACAGAACAAUUCAGUGAUGCACUGGUCUUCUCUUCUUCAAAGAGGGACAGAAGUGCUCCACGUUGCAGGCCAAGUUGUUCCAAAGCAGAAGACGCAUGGAGCUCGGACACUGUCCAGAGUGCAGAUCAGCACAAUGGCCCUAAAAGACAAUCUCAUGGUAGCGGGUGGUUUCCGUGGUGAACUGAUUUUCAAGUAUGUUGACAAGCCCGGGGUGGCAUUCUGUACGAAUGCCGCUGAUAAUAAAAACUCCGUCACGAAUGCUGUAGAUGUGUACGAGUCUCCUAGCGGCGCUACUCGAGUGACGGCGGCCAACAAUGACUGCACUGUCAAAUUUCUUGAUGCCGAGAGGUGCAGCCUGCUUAGUCGCUUUACUUUCCCGUGGUCGGUCAAUAACACAUCGGUGAGUCCUGAUGGCAAGCUCCUCGCGGUCCUCGGCGACAGCUCCGACUGCGUGAUCACCGACGCUCAAUCGGGCGAAGUACGCAACAGAUCAUCAGAUCACAGCUUCAAAUCCCCCUUCAUUCCACCCUGCAGCAAAACUGAGCAUUGUUCAUGCUUACAUUUGCAGGAGAUAGCGACUCUCAAAGGGCACCUGGACUACUCGUUCUCAUCGGCCUGGCACCCCGGCGGGCACGUCCUGGCGACGGGGAACCAGGACAAGACGUGCCGGCUGUGGGACACGCGCAACCUGUCGGCGCCGUUCGCGGUGCUGGGAGGGAGGAUCGGUGCGGUCCGGGGCCUCCGGUUCUCGUCGGACGGGCGGUUCCUGGCGGCGGCGGAGGCGGCGGACUUCGUCCACGUGUACGACGCGCGGGCCGGCUACGGCGCCGCGCAGGAGAUCGGGCUGUUCGGGGAGAUCGCGGGCGUGGCGUUCAGCCCGGACGCGGACGCGCUGUUCGUCGGGGUCGCGGACCGGGCCUACGGCAGCCUGCUCGAGUUCGGCCGGCGGGGCCGGCACGCCUACCUGGACUCGUACCUGUGA
rnacentral:rRNA from 1 species